rnacentral:rRNA from 1 species
UACGAAGGGGGCUAGCGUUGCUCGGAUUGACUGGGCGUAAAGGGCGCGUAGGCGGUUUGCACAGUCAGACGUGAAAUUCCUGGGCUUAACCUGGGGGCUGCGUUUGAUACGUGCAGGCUUGAGUUCGGAAGAGGGUCGUGGAAUUCCCAGUGUAGAGGUGAAAUUCGUAGAUAUUGGGAAGAACACCGGUGGCGAAGGCGGCGACCUGGUCCGAUACUGACGCUGAGGCACGAAAGCGUGGGGAGCAAACAGG